CGAGAUGAGUUCUCCCUGAGACUUUAAGUCUCCUGAAGGAACGUUGAAGACGACGACGUUGAUAGGCCGGGUGUGUAAGCGCAGCGAUGCGUUGAGCUAACCGGUACUAAUGAACCGUGAGGCUUAACCUUACAACGCCGAAGGUGUUU
rnacentral:rRNA from 1 species